CUCAUUUUAAUAGUUUAUAUGCUAACAUUGUAAAGAUACUGAAAAGACUAGCAUGGCCUUUUUUAAUAAAGAAAAGCAAAUUCUUGAAGUGUUC
rnacentral:snRNA from 1 species